rnacentral:rRNA from 1 species
AACGAACACUGGCGGCGUGGAUUAGGCAUGCAAGUCGAACGAGAAAGUUUCCUUCGGGAGACGAGUACAGUGGCGAACGGGUGAGUAACGCGUGGGAAAUCUGCCCUUUAAUGGGGGAUAACAGUUCUAACGAGCUGCUAAUACCGCAUAAGAUCCUUAGAUCGCAUGAUCCGGGGAUGAAAGAUGGCCUCUACAUGUAAGCUGUCGUUGAAGGAUGAUCCCGCGUCCCAUUAGCUAGUUGGUGGGGUAAAAGCCUACCAAGGCGACGAUGGGUAGCCGGCCUGAGAGGGUGUCCGGCCACACUGGGACUGAGAUACGGCCCAG